rnacentral:rRNA from 1 species
UGGGGAAUUUUGGACAAUGGGGGAAACCCUGAUCCAGCCAUCCCGCGUGUGCGAUGAAGGCCCUCGGGUUGUAAAGCACUUUUGGCAGGAAAGAAACGUCAUGGGUUAAUACCCCGUGAAACUGACGGUACCUGCAGAAUAAGCACCGGCUAACUACGUGCCAGCAGCCGCGGUAAUACGUAGGGUGCAAGCGUUAAUCGGAAUUACUGGGCGUAAAGCGUGCGCAGGCGGUUCGGAAAGAAAGAUGUGAAAUCCCAGAGCUCAACUUUGGAACUGCAUUUUUAACUACCGGGCUAGAGUGUGUCAGAGGGAGGUGGAAUACCGCGUGUAGCAGUGAAAUGCGUAGAUAUGCGGAGGAACACCGAUGGCGAAGGCAGCCUCCUGGGAUAACACUGACGCUCAUGCACGAAAGCGUGGGGAGCAAACAGG